rnacentral:rRNA from 1 species
CCUACGGGUGGCUGCAGUAGGGAAUAUUGCUCAAUGGGGGAAACCCUGAACCAGCAACGCCGCGUGAAGGAUGAAGGUUUUCGGAUUGUAAACUCCUUUUUUUAGAGAAGAUAAUGACGGUAUCUAACGAAUAAGCACCGGCUAACUCCGUGCCAGCAGCCGCGGUAAUACGGAGGGUGCAAGCGUUACUCGGAAUCACUGGGCGUAAAGCGCGCGUAGGCGGGAUAGCAAGGCAGAUGUGAAAUCCUAUGGCUUAACCAUAGAACUGCAUUUGAAACUGGUAUUCUAGAGUUUGGGAGAGGUAGGUGGAAUUCGUGGUGUAGGGGUAAAAUGCGUAGAGAUCAAGCAGAAUACUGAUUGCGAAGGCGACCUGCCAGAACAUAACUGACGCUGAUGCGCGAAAGCGUGGGGAGCAAACAGGAUUAGAUACCCGUGUAGUC